rnacentral:tRNA from 1 species
UGGGCUGUAGCCAAGUGGUAAGGCAGCUGGUUUUGGUCCAGCCAUACCUAGGUUCGAAUCCUAGCAGCCCAGCCA